CCAUAAGGAUGAUGUCAUAUGCAUAUUUGAGGUUAUUGAUAUUUCUCCAAGUAAUCUUGGUUCCAGCUUAUGCUUCAUCUAGCCCAGUGUUUCUCAUGAUGUACUCUACAUAUAACUUAAAUAAGCAGGGUGACAAUAUACAGCCUUGACACACUCCUUUUCCUGUUUGGAGCCAGUCUGUUGUUCCAUGUCCAGUUCUAACUGUUGCUUCCUGACCUGCAUACAGAUUUCUCAAGAGGCAGGUCAGGUGGUCUGGUAUUCACAUCUCUUUCAGAGUUUUCCACAGUUUAUUGUGAUCCACACAGUCAAAGGCUUUGGCAUAGUCAAUAAAGCAGAAAUAGAUGUUUUUCUGGAAUCCUCUUGCCUUUUCUAUGAUCCAAUGGAUGUUGGCAAUUUGAUCUCUGGUUCCUCGGCCUUUUCUAAAUCCAGCUUGAACAUCUGGAAGUUUAUGGUUCACAUAUUGCUGAAGCCUGGCUUGGAAAAUUUUAAGCAUUACUUUACUAGCGUGUGAGAUGAGUGCCAUUGUGCGGUAGUUUGAGCAUUCUUUGGCAUUGCCUUUCUUUGGGAUUGGAAUGAAAACUGACCUUUUCUCAGUGUGGCCAUUUCUGAGUUUUCCAAAUUUGCUGGCAUAUUGAGUGCAGCACUUUCACAGUAUCAUCUUUUAGGAUUUGAAAUAGCUCAGCUGGAAUGCCAUCACCUCCACUAGCUUUGUUUGUAGUGAUGCUUUCUAAGGCCCACUUGACUUCACAUUCCAGGAUGUCUCGCUCUAGGUGAAUGAUCACACCAUCAUGGUUAUCUGGGUCAUGAAGGUCUUUUUUGUAUCAUUCUUCUCUGUAUUCUUGCCACCUCUUCUUAAUAUCUUCUGCUUCUGUUUGGCACAUACAAUUUCUGUCCUUUAUUGAGCCCAUCUUUGCAUAAAAUGUUCCCUUGAUACCUCUAAUUUUCUUGAAGAGAUCUCAUCUUUCCCAUUCCAUUGUUUUCCUCUAUUUCUUUGCACUGGUCACUGAGAAAGGCUUUCUUAUCUCUCCUUGCUAUUCUUUGGAACUCUGCAUUCAGAUGCUUAUGUCUUUCCUUUUCUCCUUUGCUUUUUGCUUAUCUUCUUUUUACAGCUAUUUGCAAGGCCUCCUUAGAUAGCCAUUUUGCUUUUAUGCAUUUCUUUUUCAUGGGGAUGGUUUUGCUCCCUGUCUCCUGUACAAUGUCAGGAACCUCCGUUCAUUGUUCAUCAGGCACUCUGUCUAUCAGAUCUAUUCCCUUAAAUCUAUUUCUCACUCCCACUGUAUAGUCAUAAGGGAUUUGAUUUAGGUCAUACCUGAAUGGUCUAGUGGUAUUCCCCAGUUUCUUCACUUU
ensembl:lncRNA